rnacentral:tRNA from 1 species
GCCCGCGACGCACAACCGGAACGUGCGGCGGAUUUCUAAUCCGCAGGCUGUGGGUUCGAAUCCCACCGCGGGCGCCA